UGGUUCUGGCAUCGAUGAAGAACGCAGCGAAAUGCGAUAAGUAAUGUGAAUUGCAGAAUUCAGUGAAUCAUCGAAUCUUUGAACGCACAUUGCGCCCGCCAGUAUUCUGGCGGGCAUGCCUGUUCGAGCGUCAUUUCAACCCCUCGGGCCUCUCGCAGAAGCCCGGCGUCGGGGCCUCCCCGCCCUCGCCGGCGGGGGCCCCCAGAGACAGUGGCGGACCCGCCGCGGCUCCGAGCGCAGUAUAACGCAACGCUCCGGUGCCCGCGGAGGGACUCCUGCCGUGAAACACCCCAAUACACCAAGGUUGACCUCGGAUCAGGUAGGAAUACCCGCUGA
rnacentral:misc_RNA from 1 species